rnacentral:lncRNA from 1 species
UCAAAGCUGACAUGGCUGGUCAACGGUCAACAGGUCAAAGUCAACGGUCAACGGCUGACUGGGCGCUGACGUGGCGCGUGGCUGAGACUAAUCUCGCUCGCCGAUAUUCAAACGGCUCGUGAGGGCGCGUCCGAACUCCGUUUUCGACGCGGUUUGGUGCUGAAGCUCCGUAUCGAUGAGAGGAACAAUCUGGUGCAAUCAAAAAUUAAUUUUGAGCA